GCCCAGCCCGCUCCCCGCGGGGACGCGAGCCGAGCCCGGCGCUGGCGAGGCCCUCGCCCGAGAUUUAAAGCCCGAAAGUUUUGUUCUUGAGACCUAUGAUUCUGGCCCAGCCUGAGGAGAACAGCGGACCUCCGUUGGGACGUUUGAGGAGCUGGGCUCGCCCUUGGGCAGUUUUGCUUUAAACUCCCUUCGAAAUGAAGGCGAGCUUGAAGGUCUGAUUCCAGGUUGCAGUGGAACAUGUGUUGAUUCUCCGUAGGGGAUCCACACCUGAAACAUCCCUGGAGUCUCCCCAGCAUCCUGCCAUUGGCCUCCUACACAGUUUGCAGAACCCAGAACAUCUGAUGACCUUUGGACAACAUCAGAAUGUGUAAGGUCCCGCCUUAUUUUCCAGUCCUGUGCAUCAACUAACACCACAUGUGUAAACUGCCGUGGGGCUUGAAGUCACGCGUUUGUCCACAGGAACGAACCCUGGAGGCAGGUCCAGGCAGUGAGCCAGUGAACUCUCCGGACCCAGCUCGGCCGCACAGUUCCCUUCUGUGCUGUGCCCAGCACAACUGCCUGGCUCUCUGGCUGCUCCGCACACUCCUGGAGGUCUCGGCCGGUGCACUGUGCGAGGCCCUUCCUAGCAGAUUUCAUGGAAGCACUUCAAACCCAGCUUUCUGCAGCCUGGGGCUUGGAGGAAUUAGGGGAGGUGAGCUCCGCCGCCGGCAUGUUUAA
rnacentral:lncRNA from 1 species